UACGUAGGGGGCUAGCGUUGUCCGGAAUCAUUGGGCGUAAAGAGCGUGUAGGCGGCCCGGUAAGUCCGCUGUAAAAGUCAAAGGCUCAACCUUUGAAAGCCGAUGGAUACUGCUGGGCUCGAGUCCGGAAGAGGCGAGUGGAAUUCCUGGUGUAGCGGUGGAAUGCGCAGAUAUCAGGAGGAACACCAAUAGCGAAGGCAGCUCGCUGGGACGGUACUGACACUAAGGCGCGAAAGCGUGGGGAGCGAACAGG
rnacentral:rRNA from 1 species